CUUCCUGCUUUCAUAAACAGUCAUGUGCAUAGUUUAGCAAGGCCUGAUGCCUCUGGAGCUUUUUCCCUUUAUAGCACCAUUGAAUCCCAGUCCUAACAGAAGUACUGUGAAUCUUGUGGCCUCAUUCUGAACAAAAGGGAUUAGAGAAGAAAAAUCUCUUGAUAUAAGGCUUAGAAGCAAGGGCAGGCAAUCUUGGUUGUGAAUAUUUUCUGAUUUUUCCAGAAAUCAAGCAGAAGAUUGAGCUGCUGAUGUCAGUUAACUCUGAGAAGUCGUCCUCUUCAGAAAGGCCGGAGCCUCAACAGAAAGCUCCUUUAGUUCCUCCUCCUCCUCCACCACCACCACCACCGCCACCACCGCUGCCAGACCCAACACCCCCAGAACCAGAGGAGGAGAUCCUGGGAUCAGAUGAUGAGGAACAGGAGGAUCCUGCAGAUUAUUGCAAAGGUGAUAUGGUGGCAUGGUAGCAUGGGUUAAUUGUCCUCAUGGGGCUUUCCAGUAGUUUGUGGAAUGGUCUUUAUUAAAUUAGCUUCCUUGUUCACUGACUAUAGAACAAUAUCAGAAAAUGUAAAUGAUGAGAUGAAAAUUAAGAGUUAGCAAAUAUGUACAUGUGUACAUGCUCUAGGUAUUUUCAAAAGCGUUUAAUUGGAUACAGUUACAGGUAAGGGAGAUAAUAAAUGAUCUAAGAGGAACAUAUGAAGGAGAAGGUACCAGGCUUGAGAGGGGAGCUUAUUUUUAAAUCUUGUAUUUCACUUUGAGCUUUCUGGCUGUUAGGCUAAAAGGGAAGGUUCCCUUCUCUGUAUUGCAUUGAAUUGCAUACUGUUUAUUGUCUUUGGAAAGAAAGCAUGCCCAUUUGUUUGCAGAAAGGGACUUUUCCUGGCAUUGUACUUAUCGAAAAAGACAUUCUGUGGGUUCUGCUAUUGUGUGGCAUAGUGGAUUUUGUUUUCAGCUCUGAUUGCACAGAAGACAUAGAAACUAUUCAUGUGGAGUGUUCUUGUACUGAUGCUUUGUUAAGACCAAAAGUAUGUAGUUGAAAGUCAUAAAGGGCAAGCAUGUUGUGUGAUGAAUAUUCACGUCAGUAUGAUCUAGACUCCAUACUUUGUGUAGAUUUCUUGGAAUUCUGAACUGCACAGUGGCUGGCAGAUAGUUUAUUUGCUACAGGUUUUAAAACACGUAAAUUAGAUUCCAAAACACGUAGAUUAGAACACUUCUGGAGCUGUUCUUUUUAGCAAACAGACUCUACCAUGCUGGAAUGCAUGAACAUUGUCAGCUCUCCACUUGGCUCUCCAUGUGGGUCAGGAGUUGUAGCCAGUAUUCUCAUUCCCUUACUAUCUCAGGAGAGAUCCCAUCCCCAAAUCAGAGGGCUAAGAUAAAAAGUAACAGGGCUGAUUGUAGGUAACAUUCACUAAACUCUGAACAUCUUAAGAGUAUUAAGGUCAACCCUAAUAAAAUAUGCUAGAAAUGGUAAGGACUUUUUUCUGUCUGUCCACAUCCUUAAAUUUGGUAAAUGACUUGUCCUGUAGUUAGCAUUGCAUGUGUUGGAUGCCAUACUCUAUGAAUUUUGUGGUAAUAGACCACAGUUUGUCUACGAUAACUGACAUAAAUAUACUCAAGAAGUCUAUGUUAGUCAUAUUUCUGUCACUGUGACAAAAUACUUGAGAUAGUCAACUUAAGAGGAGGGAACGGUUUAUUUUGGCUCCUGGUUUCAGUUUUCAGUCCAUGAUCUCUUGGCUCUGUUUCUUUGUGCUUGUGUUGAAGCAGAGUAUCAUGACUAGAGGGUAGGAUGGGGAAAGCUGUUUACCUCGUGGUAGCCAGUAGAAAGAGAGAGGGGGGCUUGGGUCCUAAUAUUCCCUUCAAGGACACCCCACUCAGUGGCCUAACUUCCUUCCAGUAGGACCAACUUCCUAAAUGUUCCACGAGUUCCCAGUAGCUCCACAGUCUGAUGACUAAGUCUGCAAUCUGUAACCAUACAUUUAUGAUUCAAACCCCAUGCUUUCCUAGAAUGUGCAAGGCUCUGUUAGAUCCCUAGCUCUACAAAAAUGGAAAUUUAAUAAAAAAUCCAAACCCUAAAAGAGUUCAAGAAAUUGAUUGGGAGUGUCUGGGAUAAGAACUGUGGCCUUCACAUUUUUUUCUUCAUGGGUAGAAGAGAUAGCUUUUUUCCUCCAGAACUAGUUGAGCUUAAGUUAGUAAUGAUGUGUUACCACUUCUGAAUACUUGGUUAUAUUUGCCUAUAAUCAAGUACAUUCUUCUGAUCUACAAUGCAACCAUCAAGAUCAGGAAUUUAACAUUGUUAAUACUAGUCAACCCUCCAAAGAGUUCAUUUAGGAUUUGCAUGCCUAAUUUUGCCCUUUAUAUGAAGUGAAUCUAUGGCAGAACCAUUAUGUUUUGUUUUCUUCUUUAAUCUCCUGUAUUUGGAGCAGUUCUUCAGUAUUUUCUUAGCUUUCAUAUCCUUGACAUUUUUGAAGAUAAAAUGUAGUUUAUGUAAUGUUUCUCAGUUUGGAAUAUCCCAGAAGUGAUACUGUGUUCUGCAGCACAUCCUAUCAAGUGGUAGUACACAGUUUUGAUUUUUUUGAUACAGUGAUUUUUAUCAAAAAAAUUGAUGUAGUGAUUUCAUCACUCCAUUAAGCUGCUGUUUGUCAGAUAUCUCUACUCUUUCUCCUUACUAAUUGAUAAAUAGAUUUUGUGGAGAGUUGAGACCUCAUUUAAAUAUCUCAGUCAACAUCUCCAACCCUUGCCCCAGUUGUCUGACUUUAUCUCAGAUAGACUCACUCAUUGUGGAUUUCUGUUUUUUUUUCAGUGGGUUUUAUAAUGAGUUACCCUUCUUACUUGUUUUUGAUACUCUGAUCACCCUAAAUUUGGUCAUUAGGAGCCCCUUUAGUUGAGACUGUGUUCUUUUGAAACAUCUUUGUCAUUCCUGACCACUUCUUUACCUUCAAGUGCAAUAAUAUAGUCCAGGUUCAUCUUGUAUUUCUCCACCCCAGCCCUAGAAUAAACUCUUUCCAUAAGACCCCUGGUUGUUUUCAAUGAAGAAUAAUAUUUUGAAAGCAUGAUCUAGCCAUUAAUGAUGUUUUAUUACUAUUAAGGUAAUUGCAAUUACUUCAAUAAGAAUAGUAAUUAUCACUGUUGCUUCCAGAUCUUUGUACAAAGCUAGGGAC